UACAGAGGUCUCAAGCGUUGUUCGGAUUCAUUGGGCGUAAAGGGUGCGUAGGCGGCGCGGUAAGUCGGGUGUGAAAUCUCGGGGCUUAACUCCGAAACUGCAUUCGAUACUGCCGUGCUUGAGGACUGGAGAGGAGACUGGAAUUUCCGGUGUAGCGGUGAAAUGCGUAGAUAUCGGAAGGAACAUCAGUGGCGAAAGCGACUUCCUGGACCAGUACCGACGUUCAGGCACGAAAGCGUGGGGAGCAAACAGG
rnacentral:rRNA from 1 species